UACGGGAGGCAGCAGUGGGGAAUUUUGGACAAUGGGCGAAAGCCUGAUCCAGCAAUGCCGCGUGUGGGAAGAAGGCCUUCGGGUUGUAAACCACUUUUGUACGGAACGAAACGGUUCGCUUUAAUACAGUGGGCUAAUGACGGUACCGUAAGAAUAAGCACCGGCUAACUACGUGCCAGCAGCCGCGGUAAUACGUAGGGUGCGAGCGUUAAUCGGAAUUACUGGGCGUAAAGCGUGCGCAGGCGGUUAUAUAAGACAGUUGUGAAAUCCCCGGGCUCAACCUGGGAAUUGCAUCUGUGACUGUAUAGCUAGAGUACGGUAGAGGGGGAUGGAAUUCCGCGUGUAGCAGUGAAAUGCGUAGAUAUGCGGAGGAACACCGAUGGCGAAGGCAAUCCCCUGGACCUGUACUGACGCUCAUGCACGAAAGCGUGGGGAGCAAACAGGAUUAGAUACCCUGGUAGUCCACGCCCUAAACGAUGUCAACUGGUUGUUGGGUGCAUUAGUACUCAGUAACGAAGCUAACGCGUAAGUGACCGC
rnacentral:rRNA from 1 species